rnacentral:rRNA from 1 species
UACGGGGGGGUGCGAGCGUUGUCCGGAUUUACUGGGCGUAAAGGGCGCGUAGGCGGUCAGCACAAGUCAGUUGUGAAAUCUCCGGGCUUAACUCGGAAAGGUCAACUGAUACUGUGCGACUAGAGUGGCAGAAGGGGCAACUGGAAUUCUCGGUGUAGCGGUGAAAUGCGUAGAUAUCGAGAGGAACACCUGCGGCGAAGGCGGGUUGCUGGGCUGACACUGACGGCUGAGGCGCGAAAGCCCAGGGGAGCGAACGGG